CAGCAGAUUGUGGAAGCUGUGCACUGAGAUAUAGGAAAGGAAAUCUUUCAUGAUGGAGGAGGUAAUAGGAUUACAAUGCAUGCUCCCUCUGCUCUUCCAUGGAGCCAGGCAGCAGGGGGCUGGAAAGCAACCAUCAGAGUCCAGCCUGCAGCCACAGAUUGGAGAGCCAAGCGUAUAGGAUGACAUGCUGGGCCUCACGGGGAGUUGAGCAGCCAUGAAGUGCUGGGGAAGGGCUCCUGAAACUGGCUGCAGAUCCCUGCUUGCCUGGAACACUUGUGAAAGAAGGUUCAAGUUAGGUUACCAAGAAAAUGUCCUGGGAGCUGGGACCUGGUGUGUAGGUUGAGGCUAUCAAAAGCACAGUGGAAAAGAAUCCCACCCUUGGGAGUACUGCAGGUGAGGAGGGAGGGGAUUUUGCAAAAAAUCCAGUGUUGCCAAGUCCUAAACCUGGCCAGCAGUCAUACUCACCCUCCUCCCAGAUCUUGACACCAAAUUUGAUAUUGUAGGAUGAUCACACUGUUGUUUUUCUUUUCCACAUUUCUUUAUAUUUAAGAUUUCUUUGCACAUGUUUGUGUAUGUGGCAACCCAUUAACUGUCACAGAGCUCUCCUAUGUGAACGAAGUCAAUUCAUUUUUGGCUUAUGUUGCAAAAAAUUUAAGGGCUAUCUGGUGAUGAAAAGCCUCUAGUUAUUCCUGACAGCCGUCCUCUCCAGAUACUCAUUUUCCCUUCCAACAUACCCACACUUGCUCAUCCUCUGUCUUGAUAAUUAAAUUAAGCAUAGCAGUUUUUCGUCCCUGACCCCUGCAUCUCAAGUGAUGCCCUCCCUUUCUCCAUGUACUGCCCUGUCUUUGCACCAGCAUGCAUCUUCAGCUGGGUCUCCAUGGUUCCUUCUGGUCACAUAACAUUAACACUUGUUUUCAGAGUGGGGAACAGCACUCUGCUUUGAAACUCCUGAGAACAUAUAGCACAUUUUAUACUAUUUAGAUGAUACAAAUAUUAGUGAAUUUGUGUGAGAGUGUACCACAAGGAAUACAUUUUCAGACACAAAAAAAUGUCUAGUGAUUGAUAAAAUAGCAUUGUGUACCAUUUUGCCAAAGGGAAGCUUUUUCUUGUGGAAUUCUUGCAAUGAAGCCAUUCUGAGAAAGAAAUUGUUAACUACUACAUUGUCUUAUCUUUCUGAAGUACCAUGCUAUGAAUAUACUCUUUAUGCUCAUGACUGUACAUUCAUCUCAGAAAAUAAAAAAUAAAUAAUAAAUAUUUCUUGCA
rnacentral:lncRNA from 1 species